UAGAUAUAUAUAUAUAUAAAAUGACAUUUUUCAAUGAGUAAAGAUUUUCCUAUAGGAGUAACAUUGGAUUAGUAAAUGGGGACAUUUCAUAUUUUCAGUGUUUACCAAAAACCAUUGUGAUAAAUGCAGACUGCAAGUUAUAGGAAAUUGUAUCAUUUGAACACAUGUACAUAUCAGUGAAGGCAACUACAUGAAAUCUACUUAAAUCACAAUAAAGUGUUAUCAUAAACUAAAACAAUCAU